rnacentral:rRNA from 1 species
CUGACCUCAAAUCAGGUAGGAAUACCC